rnacentral:rRNA from 1 species
AUGAAACACUCCUACGGGAGGCAGCAGUGGGGAAUUUUGGACAAUGGGGGCAACCCUGAUCCAGCAAUGCCGCGUGAGUGAAGAAGGCCCUCGGGUUGUAAAGCUCUUUUGUCAGGGAAGAAACGGAGUUCUCUAAUAUAGGAUUCUAAUGACGGUACCUGAAGAAUAAGCACCGGCUAACUACGUGCCAGCAGCCGCGGUAAUACGUAGGGUGCAAGCGUUAAUCGGAAUUACUGGGCGUAAAGCGUGCGCAGGCGGUUUUGUAAGUCUGAUGUGAAAUCCCCGGGCUCAACCUGGGAACUGCAUUGGAGACUGCAAGGCUAGAGUGUGUCAGAGGGGGGUAGAAUUCCACGUGUAGCAGUGAAAUGCGUAGAGAUGUGGAGGAAUACCGAUGGCGAAGGCAGCCCCCUGGGAUAACACUGACGCUCAUGCACGAAAGCGUGGGGAGCAAACAGGAUUAGAAACCCCUGUAGUCCGAAGUUC